UCGCACCCGCACAUGCGCAGUGCGAUCUCCGGUGUUCGGGAACAGUGCGGUGAGGGAAAGUGGGGUAAAGGUAGCCGGACAACUCCACCUGCGCGUGGAGGCAGGAAGAUCAAAUCAACACGUCAUUAAUAAGUCUGAACUCCUUGCAGGAAGAAGAAAUGGCUAAUAAUUUGUCAGAGCGGACCUUCCAGUACCAAAGCAGCCUGCCACCCUUGCCUGUCCCGUCACUAGAGAAGAGCCUUUCGAAGUACCUGAAUGCAGUUCAACCAUUUGCAUCUGAGGAAGACUUUAAGGCUACAGUGGACAUUGUGAGGAAAUUUCAAGAGGGUGUUGGCAAAGAGCUGCACCAGAAACUACUGCAAAGAGCCAAGACAAAGAAGAACUGGCUGGAAGAAUGGUGGUUAGACACUGCAUAUCUAGAGGUCCGCAUACCCUCUCAGCUGAAUGUGAACGUUGCCGGCCCGGGGCCUUACCUGGAGCACUGCUGGCCCCCUGAAGAGGGAACUCAACUGCAGAGGGCCAGUAUUAGCACAUGGCAUGCACUACAGUACUGGAACCUCAUCCGCACGGAAAGGCUGCAUCCCCAGAAAUCUGGCAAAAUACCAUUAGAUAUGGACCAGUUCAGAAUGCUGUUCAGCACCUGCAAAGUACCUGGAGUAAAGAAGGACACCAUUCGUAACUACUUCAAGACGGAGCGUGAGGGUCCAUGCCCCUCCCAUUUAGUAGUGAUCUGUCGUGGAAGGAUCUUCACAUUUGACGCAGUCUGUGAUGGACAAAUCCUCACUCCUCCAGAACUACUGAGGCAGCUCAGCUAUGUGAAAGAGUGCUGUGAUGGAGAGCCAGAGGGAGACGGAGUGGCUGCUCUCACCUCAGAGGAGAGGACUCGUUGGGCGCUGGCCAGGGAGCAUCUAAUUAACAUUGAUCCACACAAUGACACCAUCCUGGAGACCAUCCAGAGCAGCCUGUUCGUCAUAUCUCUGGAUGAAACAAAACCCUACUCCACUCCAGAGAACUACACAAAUUUGACCGUGGAAGCCCUUACAGGCAAUCCCACCAUCCGCUGGGGUGACAAAUCGUACAAUUCACUCUCGUUCGCAGAUGGCACUUUUGGAAUCUCUUGUGAUCAUGCACCAUAUGAUGGCAUGGUACUGGUUUCUAUGUGUUGGUAUAUGGACCAGCAAAUCAAAGUUACAGAAGGCAAAUGGAGGGGCUCAGACACAGUCAGACCCGCACCCCGUCCUGAAGAGCUGGUGUUUACUGUCGACGAAAAAAUCCUGAGUGACAUCCGCCACGCCAAACAGCAAUACCUGGAGUCGACACAGGACCUGCAGAUGGUGUGUUACGCCUUCACAGCAUUUGGAAAAGCAGCCAUCAAACAAAAGAAGUUGCAUCCAGACACCUUUGUUCAACUAGCGAAGCAGUUGGCCUACCAGAAAAUGCACAAAAGGCCAGGAAGUUGUUAUGAGACCGCAAUGACUCGCAUGUUCUACCACGGCAGGACGGAGACGAUGCGACCCUGCACCCAGGAGGCUGUGAACUGGUGUAACGCCAUGAUGGACCCCACAUGUGAUGUUGAUACCAAGAGGAAAGCCAUGAUGCUCGCCCUAGUUAAACACAACACACUGAUGGCUGAAGCCGAGAAAGGAAAAGGUUUUGACCGGCAUCUUCUCGGGCUGUAUCUGAUUGCCAAAGAGGAGGGACGACCCACUCCAGAACUCUUCAUGGACCCUCUCUAUGCAAAGAGUGGUGGUGGUGGUAACUUUGUGCUGUCUACCAGUCUGGUGGGCUACACUACCAUUCUGGGGGCUGUGGCUCCCAUGGUGCACCACGGCUAUGGCUUCUUUUAUCGUAUCAGAGAUGACAGGAUCGUGGUCUCAAUCUCAGCGUGGAAAUCUUGCCGUGAGACGGAUGCUGCGUCACUGUUCAACAACUUCAGUAGCUCCUUACAUGAGAUGCUCGUCCUGGCCACCACAUCUCAGUUAUAAUGUCAUGUUUGUUCCCAGCAAAGAUCAAUGCAAAGCAUGUGGUAGACUCCCUUUUGGGCCAGCAGCUGUUGAUGUGUCCCCAGCUCGAUCACCCCUCCUCCACUGAAAACAGCGAUGCGGUCUGCAUUUUGGAUGGUGGACAGACGCACAUCACUCGCUUUUUGGAGAAGGUGAUUGGCUACAAUCAGCUGUCCCUCCAGAACCUGUAGUCCUCCAGGACCCUGAGCCGCCCAGGAAAGAUGGUGGCUGACCACCCUCUACGGGCCAUCAUUAACAGACUUCUCGAGCUCCUUCUUGUCCUGAGCGGCGUAUCCGGUAAGCGCCCGCAUCUCAAAAGUUGCAGCCGCUGCUACGACGGGCACCACAGCCAGGACGAGCAAGGUCAGCUGCCAGCCGUACACAAAGGAGAUGACCACAGAGGUGCCCAUGUUGGCUACGUUCUGGGCCAGCGUGGCCAUACGUAUUCCUGUGGCCUGAGCAGGCGUGAAAGAUGGGAACAAAGAAAGUUACCAGAAGAUUCAUUGUUGUAGUCUUAGUAUUUGGUGUGUGUAUGUGUGUGUGUGACCGCUGUUGAGACUUACUCCUUGCACUUGGGCUGCGUCUGUGGCCAGUCUCGUAGUGAGCGCUCCAACACUGUUUUUGUGGUUGUCAUACCAGCUGAGGUCCUACAAGAAAACAGGGAAUGACAUUUUCCAUUUUCCAUGAAAAUAAAUCCAUCCAUUAUCUUUCAACCCAGCUGGCAUUGGGCGAAGGCAGGGUACACCCUGGACAGGUUGCCAGACCCAGACCCACAGAGAACCCAGGAAUCUAACCCCACACCUCUUGAUGUGUGACAUGCUGGCACCGUGCAGCAAAGAAGUUACAUUUUUGAAAAAUCAUUAAUAUUAAUUAAUAUUUAUUAAGAAUACAAUUUCUGUCGAAACUCCGCCCCGACAGAGAGCUAUCAGAGGAGAGGAGGGAGGCAAGGUUACACUUACCUGUCUCAUCAUGGACUUAAAGGCAUCGCGUCUCAGUUUAAGGGUCAGCAUCUCCCCAGAUUUACCAAAACAGAAGCCCUGUUACACAUUUUGGCAAAUUUGCCAAUUAGCUUCCUUGCAGGGAAUUUACAUGCAAAUAUUGAUACCACUCUCAUGUCUGUCCAGUAAGCAUACAGCAACAGCCAUAACACAGUUAUGUAUCUAUGUAGUAGAUUCUUCCCAUCUAAGUAUAUUUCAAAAAAAUAUCAAGAUCCUUUGAGGGCAAUAAACACCCCCAGGAAAUGAAUAUAGGUUGGUCGUACCUGUAGAAACAUGGCGACGAAAGUUAUAACUCCAAUAACAAUAAACAUCAUAGAAAAGAAUUCAGAUUUUUGCCUGAUCACGUUUGGAUCGGGUUCUGCAAAUAUCUGAGAGGAGAAAAAACAAACAGAUAAUCUCUAGCUUUCUACAACAUCUGACAAAUGCUGCAUCAUGAAGCUUUAAAAUAACGUUUGUGUUACACAGAUACAAGGAGUAACGUACAGUGAUGAUCUUGGAGAAGAUGACAGCAAACAAUGGUUGCAUAGCUCCGUUGAAGAUGGCACAGAUGGUCCCGACCAAAAUGUACGGCCACUCGUUACGGUUGAGGUGCAUCAGUUGAGGGAACGACAGGAGGGGAACAUUUUCAUUCUACAGAAAGAGAGAGAAAGAGCUGAGCCACAACUCCUCAGGGAGAUAUUAACACAAUUAGACUGUGGUCAACUGAAUUUAGUAAGUAACGAGGGGAAAAGAGGGGUUAGGGAACAGAGGGGAGAGUGCCGAGCCAUUAAAAAUAUCUUUACAACUGGGUUAUUGUCUACAUAGUUCAGAGGCAGGGGAAGGACCGACACUAUAGGAUCUGCUAAGGAUGAGAUCUGCCCCACACUGGGUUACUAUCAAAGCUAAUACACUGGACUAAGAAGGAGAGGCUAAAUAGUAAUCCUGGAAUUGAGUCCCAUUUCCUCUAUUUAUUUUGGCCACUGUUAAUAAUGUUUCCUAAUUCUCGUUUUCUUAUUUGAGAUGAAAUUGGAUACAAUUUUAUCAAGUGUCAUACAACGAUAUAUCCUAACCAAGGGUUAGGGUUUGGAAAAGGGACACACCUGGGACCACCGUCCAGUUCAACACUACAACCCUGAAUAGAAACUGUGAAUGUGAGAGAACCUUGGCUACAGUGUUUAGUGUUAAAAGUUCAGUUUGUAACCAGAGACCCCUCCAUACUUCAUAACAGACAUUUGGCAGGAUUUUUCACAAAUCAUAAUACAUUGCCAGCAUAUAAGAAGACCAAAUGCUUCCUGUCCCCUUGGACUAUGAGAGUAUAUAUUAUUGUUUGCCCUGCAUAGACGAUGUUGCUCAAACCCCAAAGAUGUUGGCCCACAGCUCACUUCGUCUAUCCCGUAGUCCUUCAACUUUUGUUUCUCCUCUUUCUCUUCCUCCGAGGAAGCAAAGGAGGUGCUUCUUGUGGACUUCCUGUUGUGCACAGAGGACUGAGAACGGGUCUUGGCCAACGGGCUGUUCUUGUCCACAGAAUGCUCCAGCGCCGUCUCCUCCGACUCUUCAACAUUUUGAAAGGUCUGCGGCAGAGAGAGAGAGAGAGAGAGAGAGAGAGACGGGUGGGAACCCCAGAAAUAAACAACAUCAAGACCAUUCUGAAAUUACAAAGUUCCCCUUGAGUUCAAUCCCAACCACUUGGUGUGUCAUGUGUUUAUGUGUGUCUACCUGCAUGGUGACCAGUGUAUGGUAGAUUCCCUGUUCUUUCAUCAGUUGACUGUGAGUCCCCAGCUCUACAACCUCCCCUUGCUUAAAGCCAGCGAUGACGUCCACGCUUCGGAUGGUUGAAAGGCGGUGGGCAACAAUUAUGGUGGUACGACCCUGCCGGACCUGCACAAAAAGAUGUGUGUCCGAGUUGUUUUCCAGCUUACAAGGAGCUAAAAUUGUAGAUACAUUUCAUGAAGAUAGAUAAGUUAACAUUUCCUCAUUUAGUGAUUAGUCUACGGAUGUCUGAGGAUCUCGUCAGACACAUCAGCAUGUACAAAAGUGAUGAUGCCAUGUCGAUCAUCCUAUUUUUGCGAGUUAGUAUGCGAACACAUGCUGAGUGUAAACACAAGUACAACUGAGGCUGACGGGAAUGCCAUUAGUUUUGUAUGUUGUAUGAUUGAAAACCACAACGACUGGAUUAAGUCUAAUUUGAAUUGCUGAUGGUGCUAGUGGGAAAGUCAGUGUUUUGAUUGGAGUUCUUAAAAAUGUCUGCGUCAGUGUAAAAGUGCAAAGUGAGCUAAAGCUUUUGUGGAUGAGGCAGAGCAUGUGUUUGGGUGUAUUUCUACCUUGUCGAGUGCAUCUUGCACAAUGGUCUCACUCUCAGCAUCAAGAGCAGAUGUGGCUUCGUCCAACAGGAGGAUUUUGGGGUUGCGGACUAGAGCUCGAGCAAUCGCAAUCCUCUGCUUCUGUCCUCCACUCAUUUGAGUCCCUCGGUCACCGACCAUCGUCUCAAACUUCUGCUCAAUGAUAAGAUUCUCAAUAUUAACAGGUGGUGGGCAGAGUUCUUGAUACACAAAGAAGACGGGGGAGUCAUAAAUACAAUCCUACAUCAGGAAGGGCCAUAAUGAAGUUGUAAGCAUUAGACUCCUUGGCAGCUUGCGUGAUAUCAUACUGCGUCACGUCAGGUCGUCCGAAUCUGAUGUUCUCAGCGAUGGUGGUGGCAAAGAGGAUGGGCUCCUGGCUCACCACUCCAAUCAUGUCCCUCAGGUAGCGGACGUUAAGAGAACGGAUGUCGUGACCGUCAAUAGUCACCUAAAGUGCAGGAGUCAAACAUAUACAGCACUUAAUCAAAAGUAUAAUCACAGCCAUGAGUAUUUGAAAACAGCACGGCCUCUGCUAAAAGAAUAGUUUAACAUUUUUGGAAAUAUCCUCAUAUUUUUUUCUUUGAGAGAGUUAGAUGAGAAGCUUUGAUACACCUCUCAAGUCGGAUAUAAAGCGGGGCACAGUCACUUCCUGGAGUUUCUGGAGGUUCCUGGAGUAUAUUACGACCAGAAACUGUAUUUACAAAUGCAGACGUCUUAUUCGUUCAUAUUUACUGCAUUUUAAGCAAGUUCCAAAACUCUCAUUGUAGAUUUCUUUCAUAUCAAUGUAGACUUAAAGGAAAUCAAGGCUGCUGUGAAAGCAGGAAAACAAGUGAGGAGUAGCCAGCAGUGACAAAGUGAAUACAGGACUGGCAGUAAAUGGGCAAAAAAACAACAAAAAACACUACUUACUUACAUCUAUAUAUUUAUGUGACACCUGCUCUUAUUGAAUGACAGAAUGUUAUAGGAGUGCAAUGCUAAAUUGGUGGAGUACUCUCUCAAGUCUCAAUUAUAACAGAGUGGAUAUGGUGGCAAUUGCUGAAUAAAUCCUUUGAAUGAAGUAGUUUAUCACUCACAGAUCCUUCUUGAGGAUCGUAGAACCUCUGCAGCAGCUGGAUCGUGGUGCUUUUACCACAGCCGCUACUACCAACCAAGGCAAUGUUCUGCCCACUCUCCACGCUCAGAGACAAGUUAUUCAGUACCUACAAAAUGAUAACAAGGUCAGUUAUGAUAUGGAGGUUAAAGUAUGUAUGUUUUAGAGUUCAGCAAACUGUCGAAGAAGGACAUACUUUGAUCUCCGGCCUUGAGGGGUAGCUGAAGUGGAUGUUCUUGAACUCUAUGUUUCCUGUAAUGGAAUCAGGCUUGAAGCCGGCCUCUGAAUAGCUGUCGAUUAUCGGUUUCUGUUGAGACAAGUCUUAGUUUUAAUUCCAAAAACUCAGCUCUCCAGUUAUUUUGGCCACAGUUGGAUAGAGAACCUGAUUCUUAUCAAAACCUCAAACAGACAAUGGGAGGAAGGCUGCUAGCCCCCACAGCUCUUUGUAUUUUCACUGCACACCGCUUUUCUCCCUCAAAGGUUGAGCUCUGUGAUUUGAGAAAGAAUGAGACUGUUUUAUGUCCCCCUUUGAGGCCUCACACUUCUGUGUUUUAGACGAGACAGUAUACACUAGAAACUAUAAAGCACCUUUUUAGAUCAGACAUCACAAACUGCUUUGCAAUAAAAGACACGAUAAAAUAAAAAAAAUUUCUUCAGACAUUGAUAACAUCACACUAGCUGUAUGGAUCGCCACCAUUCAAACUGUAUUUGAAACAUCCAUCUCCAUUCAUUCAAUUACAAUUCAAACUGUGAAGAAAGUCCUUACCAAUCUCUUAUAAUGUUUAAUCAAUCUGCACAUUUUUCAACAGUCCUCUGUAGCUGCAUAUCGUGCUAAACUCUUAGCCCGAAUGGGUAAAUGAUUAGCUAGCCCUAGUGGGCAGGUGGAACCUUUCAUGGUAACCCCUGCUAUCAUUGUAUGAAUGGGUGUGAAUGGGUGAAUGAUGACAUGUAGUGUAAAUGCGCUUUGAGUGGUCGGAAGACUAGAAAAGCGCUAAAUAUAAGUAGAGUCAAAUUAUCUUAAUCAAAGUCAUGCCAUGACAAUGAAGCUGCUGUACGUGUUUGAUUUUGGUACAAUAUUUGUAAAACAUAUUGAACCUCAUGGUACAUUCACAGUUAGUUCACGGUGAGGAGAGCCACAACUGUGCAAUAUCAACCAGAUGACCUGACAGCAGGUGCUCCAAUUAGAGCAAAAUCCAACAUAUCUGACUCCAAAUUGUCGGCUGCAUGAAAGCAGCUCCCCAGAGUGCCAGAUUACAACGGUGCAUGUUGAGUAAUAUAAACUGACAACUGUCCAGCAGCAAUAAGAGCUAAAAAAAACCAUUUAGUUUCAACAUGUGUGCUUUGGGGAAGAAGGUUGCAUCGCUUACAUGAUCAAUAAUGCUGUACACUUUAUGUGCAGCUCCUCGGGCACUUGAAAAGGUCUCGAUGUUAGGAGAGGCCUGUCCCAGAGUGAACGCUCCAAUAAGCACAACGAAGAACACCUGAAGAGACACAAGCCAAUGUUAGCGACAGCAACCUUUUCUUUCAGUCUGCCUUAUGUUCAACGGGAAGUGAUUUAAAGACAUUGUGUCUUAAUAUGUAUACUCACAGUGAGUACAGUUCCAAUGGUGUAUUCAUUGCUAAGGAUGAGUGUACUUCCGUACCAGAAGGCUAGAGCGUAGGCCAGGUAGAUCAUCAGGAAGUUGAAGCCAAAAGCAAAAUUGGCAUAUGUCGCCUUCUUUAUUCCCACGUUCUUUGCAUCCUCCAAGUUCUUAAUAUAUCUGUGGUGCAAGACACGAAUAGACACAAGCACGAGUGCUAGUUCAACAGAAAGCACAUUUAAAUAUAAAUUAGAUUCCAAUGACAUCCUAGCAGCAGCAGUCAAAAGCACUAAUCUAAUUCUAUGGGUUUCUGGAUGGGUUUUAUCCAGUUAUAGCUUUUGUGGAGGCUAUUUCUUGGACUUUAUGAACCAAGAUUUAUUUGCCCUGCGUUGAUAUUUAGCUUGAAUAUAAUUGUUUUUUUUUACUUUCCAUCAGAUUAGCUCAGCAUUAAAAUAUAAGGGCAACACUUUGGAUUUGGAUAUUCCAGCCUGAUAUUUAUAUUGAUACUAUUAUAGAAUAGUAUCAAUAUAAUUAUCAGGCUGGAAUAUCCAAUUCCAAAGUGUAGACCCCACAAACAAUAUAAUUAUCAUACUAUCUUUACUAUUUGUUUAAAACACCUGUUAUGUGGAUUUGACAUUGUUUGUGGAUCACAUGGAGUUCUGUCUUGUUGUAUAACAUGUACAAUGCAAAUAAAGUUGUAUUAUAUUAUAUAAAUAUAUAAUCGUA